rnacentral:rRNA from 1 species
AUGGAGAGCGCAGCCGGCGGGGAGCUACGGCGGCACCGGUUCGUGCUCGUGCACGGCGUCUGCCACGGCGCGUGGAGCUGGUACAGGGUGGCCACGGCCCUGCGGUCCGCUGGUCACCGCGUCGACGCGCUCGACAUGGCCGCGUGCGGCGCCAGGCCCGGGCGCGCGGAGGAGGUGGGCUCGUUCGAGGAGUACAGCCGGCCGCUGCUGGACGCGCUGGCGGCGCUGCCGACGGGGGAGAAGGCGGUGCUGGUGGGCCACAUCUACGGCGGCCAGAGCCUGGCGCUGGCCAUGCAGGCGCACCCGGACAGGGCCGCCUUCGCCUCCGCCGCCAUGCCGGCCGCCGGGAAGCCCCUCAAGUUCGUCUCUGAACAGUUCGCGCAAGAAAGGGGCCCGGGUUUCUUCAUGGACAGCGUGAUCGAGACCACCUCCGGCGACGACCCGCAACGCCCUUGCAAGACGUUCCUGCUCGGGCCGGAGCAGUCGCGGAGCCAGAACUUUUCUAGAGCCUGGGCAAGCUUGAGCCUAUGUGUCUAA